GACGAACGCUGGCGGCGUGCUUAACACAUGCAAGUCGAACGGAAAGGCCCUGCUUUUGUGGGGUGCUCGAGUGGCGAACGGGUGAGUAACACGUGAGUAACCUGCCCUUGACUUUGGGAUAACUUCAGGAAACUGGGGCUAAUACCGGAUAGGAGCUCCUGCUGCAUGGUGGGGGUUGGAAAGUUUCGGCGGUUGGGGAUGGACUCGCGGCUUAUCAGCUUGUUGGUGGGGUAGUGGCUUACCAAGGCUUUGACGGGUAGCCGGCCUGAGAGGGUGACCGGCCACAUUGGGACUGAGAUACGGCCCAGACUCCAACGGGAGGCAGCAGUGGGGAAUAUUGCACAAUGGGCGGAAGCCUGAUGCAGCAACGCCGCGUGCGGGAUGACGGCCUUCGAGUUGUAAACCGCUUUCGCCUGUGACGAAGCGUGAGUGACGGUAAUGGGUAAAGAAGCACCGGCUAACUACGUG
rnacentral:rRNA from 1 species